rnacentral:rRNA from 1 species
UGGGCGUAAAGCGAGCGCAGGCGGUUUNGUACCCAUGCCGAACACAGUAGUUAAGCCCUAGAACGCCUGAAGUAGUUGGGGGUUGCCCCCUGUGAGAUACGGAAGUUGCUUAGCU